UACGGGGGAGCAAGCGUUGUUCGGAUUUACUGGGCGUAAAGGGCGCGUAGGCGGCGCAACAAGUCACUUGUGAAAUCUCCGGGCUUAACCCGGAGCGGCCAAGUGAUACUGUCGUGCUAGAGUGCGGGAAGGGGCUACUGGAAUUCUCGGUGUAGCGGUGAAUGCGUAGAUAUCGAGAGGAACACCUGCGGCGAAGGCGGGUAGCUGGGCCGACACUGACGCUGAUGCGCGAAAGCCAGGGGAGCGAACGGG
rnacentral:rRNA from 1 species